UUCAAAGGACUCCUUUUCCUUUGGAUAUUUUUCUUUGCUGAAGUGCUUCGUGACGCAACACUACAUGAGAGAUGCCUUCAGCCCCCGUCUCUUUUGCUGCUUGCCUGCUGUGUUGGGUGCGACGCGGAGAACCUCGCUGAGUCGCAGGAGUGCCACAGUUAUAUGACCAAGGAAGAAAAAACAAUUCAGACAACCAGUCACUCUACAGAACAUUGCAUAGGAGAUGAGUGGAUCAGACAGACUGGUUAGACGGUAGAAGAUGCUCCUGCACUCUCAUCUCUCCACUGCCCAGCCUUCAACUGGAUCACUAGGUCAAAAACCUCCAUAAUCUUGGUGCAUGUAGAUACCUCAGCUGAGAGUCUGGUGUAAGGAGACCUGGAUGUGCGAAGAGUUUGCGACACCGCAUGCAUGGCUUUACACAGGCUUCCUGCACCUUCUG
rnacentral:lncRNA from 1 species